CUUCUCUGCUUUCAGGAAUGAAGGACCAGCAUAAAUGAUGAUGUGCAUUUUCCUUUGACCAUUUCCCUGCUUGACAUUCCCAUCCUUUGAUAAGGUGCCAGUCACUCCCACCCCCCUCCCCCGUUCCUUUUUUUGCCAGACCACGCAGAGGAAGCUCAAAGGUACUUGCAGUGAUUUGAGUGGGCUGAUUAGCCUUCACCUCAGUGCCCCAUGUCCGGAGCUGAAGGCCAUAAAUCUCAUUCAAAUUGCCAUCUUGAUGUGGUUUCUUGAGGCUCUUUAGGCUGGGGUUUGGAUGAAGCUGCUCACUGUGUUCAUUCAUUUUUCUUACUCUGUUGCAGAUUUCACCAGCUUACUGAUCUAUAUCUAGGUCAGCUUCAUAAAGCAUCAUUUCUGUUCUAGGGCUUCCUAAAGCAUCAUUUCUAUUCUAGUCUUCAGCUGGGAAGAUGGUUGUAAGGGGCUGGAUGAGAAAUGGUGAGACUGCAUGGAUCUCCAAAUAUGGAAGAGAUGGUGAACCGAGUGAAAGCAAUAGAGGCUGUGAAUAAUCAUAAAUGUAGAUUACAUGUCUUUGUUUAGUAAAUAAGAUUAUUUCUGCUAAAAUCAGUGCUCUGUUUUAACUGGAAUAUUCAGCCAGGCCUAUUAUUAUACUGCAGAAAUUAUGUUGUUUAAAACUUUUAGUUUGUUUGAUACUUCUCUUAAAGAGCAGGAAAAUUCAGUGAGAGAAUGGCAUGAACCACAAGCAGAAGAGUUUUUCCUUUCACUCAAGAAACCAGUGUUCCCAAAUCAGCUUACUAAUCUUCAGUGUGCAAAGAUAUUUUAAAAAAGGGUUGAAGAGGAAAAAAAGAAAUAAAAAUUGAAUAGUUGAUGAGAUGCUGAAAUGUAACAUUUGCAAGCUACUGCUUAGAACAUUUCACACACAGCAUGCAUUUUGAGAAAACAGAGCUUUUUCCAGUGCUACUUUCUCAGACAAAGCAGAAUGACCUCUUUGUGAAGCAAAGGUUUCAGUUUCAUCUACAGUGUUGAGCUUUUGUUCUCCCCUACACCAGAGCUUCAGGAGCUUGUGGAGCUCAUUACACAGCAGGUAGUCAGGAAUAUCUUCUGUCCUGCUAUGAGUCAAGUGUGCUGACCACAGGGGAGCUGGUGUGCUGUCAUCUGGAAAGAGAUGCUCAAACCUGACGUGAUUUCUCCUACAGGCACUGGGUAUAAACUUACAUGAGUCUUCUCAUCAGUGGGAGCCCCAAGAGGUGUCCCAUGGACCUCAGAGCCAGAGGAGGAGACAUGGCUUGUCCUGGACUCUGCUGCUCAGUGUGGAGCUGGCUCUCGAGGACAUGGGCCUCUUUCACCCUGCUGUGCCCUGGCCUUCCCUCACCCCGGGCUGGGAGUGGUGUGUGGGCAGCAUCCCUGCAGGAACACCUUACAGAUCCAUCCCAGCCAGACUCAUAUCCCUGCUCUACAGAUCAUGGAUGCUUUUCCUCAUCUCCUCCUGCUGCACAGGGAGGGUAAUGAUGCCAGAUGCCAAGUAACUUGUAAAACUUCAUUUUGGCCUCUUUCUUUUUUCAUAAAAAGCCAAGUGUGUCUGACCAAUUUCUCUGUUCAUGGGCAGGACAUGAAAAAAAUAAAUAAAUAAAUCAGGGA